rnacentral:SRP_RNA from 1 species
UCGUGCUAGGCGGGGAGCUAGCGGUGCCCUGUAACCUGCAAUCCGCUAUAGCAGGGCUGAAUUCCUUCCCGAGGGGUCGAAUUGCGGAGGUAGCCUCCUGCGGGGAUCCGAAGGGUCCCAGCCCCGCGCACUAGGAACUCGUGAACCCCGUCAGGCCCGGAAGGGAGCAGCGGUAAGCGGCCAUUCCUAGGUGAUGCGGGUCUCCUGGGGCCCCGACCCGUGGGGGCGCGAAACCGGGGUCCGUCUUCGAGGGAGGGUGCACGA